AUGGAAAAAUGUGGGAUCCGUAAAUACCGUAUUAUGGAUAUUUUGUGCUUUCAAUACGGUGGAUUUGAUAAGGUUGGAUGCAUAAAGAGGGACGUUUACAAUUUCUGCCACGCUAAUAAGCAGGAGACAAUCAGUGCCGGUGAUGCUAAAACGGUGAUCAUGCACAUGAUGGCGAGGCGAGAGCGAGAUGUGGAUUUUUUCUUCAAGUACUUGGUAGACGAGCAUGGCCAUCUGAAGGGACUGUUCUGGGCUGAUAGUCAAUCGCGACUUGACUACGAGGCUUUUGGAGACGUCAUUGUUUUUGAUAGCACAUACAGAACCAACAAAUACAAUCUGCCAUUCGUGCCUUUUGUCGGGUUGAAUCACCACCGCAGCACUGUUAUAUUUGGCUGUGGUAUAAUUUCUCAUGAAACAAGCCAGGCAUACGAGUGGAUGUUGCGGACCUUUUCUGAUUGCAUGGCACAGAAGCAUCUGAUAUCUGUGAUCACAGAUGGGGACCUUGCAAUGCAGAGAGCAAUAAGGGUGGUCUGGCCAGACUCAAACCAUAGACUAUGUAUAUGGCACAUUCAGCAGAACAUUGUACGCCAUCUGCAUGAUGACGACGUAAAGGAGGAAUUCAGAUCUUUCAUUUAUGAUACUUCUUCCAUUGAAGAGCAUGAGAUAAAAUGGAUACAAUUCUUACAACGGAAUAAAGUAACCAGUGAGGAGUCUUGGCUGCAUCAGAUGUAUCAGAUGAGAAAGUUGUGGUGUGCUCCAUAUCUUGAGGGGCGUUGUUUCCUAGGAUUGAGCAGCAAUCAAAGGAGUGAGAGCUUGAACUCUGUGCUACAUACGCAUCUUGAGGGUAAGAUGUUGUUGUUUGAAAUGCUAGAGCACUAUGAGCGUUGCCUUGCGUCGCGACGGAUUAACGAAGCUCUCCAUGACGUCGAAGCCUUGCAGUCCGUUCCAUUUACAGAGGAAAAUGCUUCGCCGCUUGAGAAACACGCCGCAACAGUUUUCACACCUAGGGUCUUUAAGAUGGUCUUAUGGAGCAUAGAUGCUGUCAGCAAAUGUCAGAUUAGAGAGAUACUAGAUGGAUCAGAAGAUUCCACUUAUGUUUUGUCCAAGCAGGAAAGAAUGGAUAAAAAGUUUGGAGUGCGCAUUGAAGAGCAAGGAGGUCUUUUGCACGGGGUGAGUUGUUCUUGCCGUAAGCUGGAAUGCGUAGGCACACCAUGUUCCCACAUUUUUUACAUAUUGGGGAUUUUAAAACAAACAAUUCUUCCCGGUUGUUGCGUUCCCACUAGGUGGACUAUGAAUGCAAAAUGUGCAUACGCACCUACCAGAAAAAACCAGAUGUAUGACUAUUCGCUAAGCCUGCAGAGGUACCACGAGUUGCGGAAUUGUAGUCACGCCGCAAGUUUCCAGGCAUGCCACUCUGAUGAGGACUAUCACCGUCUAAAGAUGCUUUUGCAAGCACAACAUCAUGGCAAGCAAUCAAGUUUUGAACUAGCUGACAGCAAGGAGUCAACUAAUGCUCAGCAUAACAGCAUUAGGUUUGGCCCGUUGAUGCCGCACUCCUAG
rnacentral:rRNA from 1 species